rnacentral:miRNA from 1 species
UGACAGAGAGAGAGAGCACGC